rnacentral:rRNA from 1 species
CAACUCGACUGCGUGAAGGUGGAGUCGCUAGUAAUCGCGGAUCAGCAACGCCACGGUGAAUGCGUUCCCGGGCCUUGUACACACCGCCCGUCAAGUCAUGAAAGUGGGCAGCACCCGAAGACGGUGGCCUAACCCUUGUGGGGGGAGCCGUCUAAGGUGAGGCUCGUGAUUGGGACUAAGUCGUAACAAGGUAAC